UACAGAGGUCUCAAGCGUUGUUCGGAUUCAUUGGGCGUAAAGGGUGUGUAGGUGGCGCCGUAAGUCAGGUGUGAAAUCUCGGGGCUUAACUCCGAAACUGCAUUUGAUACUGCGGUGCUUGAGGACUGGAGAGGAGACUGGAAUUUAUGGUGUAGCAGUGAAAUGCGUAGAUAUCAUAAGGAAGACCAGUGGCGAAGGCGGGUCUCUGGACAGUUCCUGACACUGAGACACGAAGGCCAGGGGAGCAAAACGGG
rnacentral:rRNA from 1 species